rnacentral:rRNA from 1 species
UACGGGGGGGGCAAGCGUUGUUCGGAAUUACUGGGCGUAAAGGGCGCGUAGGCGGAUAUUUAAGUCGGGGGUGAAAGCCCAGGGCUCAACCCUGGAAUUGCCUUCGAUACUGGAUAUCUUGAGUUCGGGAGAGGUGAGUGGAAUGCCGAGUGUAGAGGUGAAAUUCGUAGAUAUUCGGCGGAACACCAGUGGCGAAGGCGACUCACUGGCCCGAUACUGACGCUGAGGCGCGAAAGCGUGGGGAGCAAACAGG